CUGGUUUUUUGUCAAUAAGAUGGCGGGCGCUGUGAAAACAUGGCUGUGUGUCAGCCCGGGGGCCAGUCUUCGAACAGGGCUGUUCUCCCACCGAAGUAUUCACAUGUACGAUACGACGCAACACGGACGCAAGGGCAGCGCAAGG
rnacentral:rRNA from 1 species